AGUCCACCCUGGUCCAUCCCUCAGGUGAACGUUAUAAGAAGAUCACGUGGUCUUAGCGUUAGAGUGAGAGAACAGGAGAGCAAUGAGCCCCCAAGGCCAUAGUUGACACACAGGAAGAUGGGACUCCCACCCAUCCCAGCCUCGGUGCUUAUUCUUGGAACCGUUCGUUUCUGUGGGGCUUGCGAUAUCUGACUUAAAGCUGCCUGGGAAGUAUGUUUGGGGAAUUUCUUGCUGGAGAACACGGCACGGGGCUCAUCCAACUUCUGCAUGUGAAGCGCUCUGACACCCUCUUUAAGAGCCUCGCUCCAAGCUGCCACAUUGCUGCUACUAAUGGAAGAUUCACGUAGAGGAGGCUGGUGGGAAAUAUUAUCAGACAAGCUUUGAUGACGUACAAAGGUUGCAUCUGAGUCGGAGACCUGCACUCUUUCUGGUCCCUGCAAAGGCUUCCCACCCCACCCAGAAUUCCCUGUCACAUUCUGUGAUUAGAAUACGGACAUCCACCCACGAACUAAAAGCCAGGAAGUUUUGGCAAGAAAAAAAAUAAAGAAAUUCUAUUGGCUGGGCUGUCUCCCACUGUCCGUACAGGCGCCCGGCAGACGACACUUCCCAAGAUAAAACAAACGAUCACGCCACUGUAUUUAAUGGAAUUGGGAUGGUGGGUAGAUUUAGCGUCUUCAUCACUGACCUCCAUCAUGGCUCCCCAGACCUCGAUUCAGCCCUCUCACAGUUCACAAAUUCUAAAAGUCACCCUUGGUGCUUGAGCCAAAAGAGCAAGUGUAAGCGCGGAGCCUUUCACAUGUACCCGCGAGAGUCAGCACGCCUCGACCAACCCCGUCACUCAGGGGGCAGCCCACAUGGCAAAGCAAAAGGCCCGCACCCCCUGAGCAUCUCCUCGACUGCAUCCUGACACUCAGCAACCUGUUGUCGGCGCCGUCUUCUCGGCGUAAAGCUUCCCAAGCAAUAAAUCAGCUUCCUGCCUGGCUGUUCGGUACGGACUCAUCACUUCGCACAUCAUAAUUAUAAUCAAUGAACGAAACUCAAGGAAGAAAGUCUGAACAAUGAAACAGUACCUUUCUUCCCUCAACACCGCGCGACGUUGUGCGAUCAAAGAAGACAAUGGUGCAAAUGAGUGACUCGGAUGAUCUCAAGGGUUCACAGCGACGGAAAUAUAAUAUGUGUAUUUUCAGAUUAAUGAGUACAGUUCUCCAGUCUUGAGCAAUCAAAGACAAAUGGCACUCCUUGGAGGCAGAGGGCUGGACAAAAUGACCCCUGGCCUCCAUUACUUCGAGAUUCAAUUGUCGCAUGUCUUUAACAGCCACUUCAAAUUCCUUCGUAGGUGUAAAUCCGUUCUCUAAAUAUAAAUCCCAGACAUGAGUACAGAUUAAUUUAUUCCCUAAAUGUGUAGAAAGGUAGAUGAUCAAAGCGAUGAGUUUUGCAAAAAUCACCUUUAGUCUCACUAAUGACCUUAUCAUAUCACUCAAUGAAUAGGUGGAUUAUACUUCAUGUGGUUGGUGAGAACGAAGCCAUGUACGGAAGUCCAAAUCUUCAUCCCAUGUGUACUCUUGGCAUCAAGGCCUCAUUUGUUGAGGGCAGGCUCAGCUCUGGUUAUUUCGUUUUUGCCUGCUGAACUUGAUGCCAUUAACUUUCCUGGGGAAAGGUCAGGUCAUCUUCACUUGCGAUCUCAGAGUUCUCCCCUGUGGUCAGCUGGCCAUGUCGUCUGGGGAGUCAUAGAGGAGUCCACUGCUGUGAGAGCCACUCUCGAGUGUCAGAUUAACUGCCUCUGGAACCCGCUCGAGACCAAGACUCUGGGCACAGCUGUGAAGGAUGCUCUUAAAUCAGAUUAUCUGAAGCAAAAGACCCAUCCCAAAUCCAGCUCAUACCCUCUGCUGGCAGCCCACGUCGAAGGACAAUGGGAGAAGAAAAGUUUGCUUUUCAUCUGCUUCUUCUCGCUCUUGCUAGCCAGUCUGUUUAUUCCGUUGCUGCAGCCAAUACUAGAUCCAAUUUCUUCAGGAUUUCAGGGUAGAAUGAAGGCCAGCAGCUCUUCAGGAACCCUCCUGGGCUCUAGAAUAAGAUGUGGAAAGCUGAGACACCAGACCUGUGCACUGAGCAAGUACUGGAUAGUUUUUCUUUUCUGUUGUGGCACAACCAUUGUUGGCCUACCUGGGCGGUAUCCUGUCAGCCAGUCUAAUAAACGUAUUUUCAGUAUA